UCCUGUCUGUCAGUAUGUAGUCACUAAUAAAUGAGCAAGAAAAAAUAACUGAAUUGAAAUGAAACCAUUAACAAACUGAUCCCUUGGAAACAUUAUGGCAACAAUGAUAGUGAAGCAAGGCUGCCUGUAACCUACCUUGGCACAUGUAGGGCGUUCUGCAAAGUGUAGUCCGUGCACUUGAAUUCUUCUGGAAGAUGCUGAUGUUUACUGUGGUAUCUCUUCUUUGCUCCUGCACUUACAUUUGUGUUGCUCCAGUACCUGACAGGGGAAGGAUGCUGUGUCUUUAAAGCCUUCUCAGGGCUGUGCGGAGGCAGUUCCAUUGAAGUAUUUGAAUGAGAGCAAGAGGGGGGUGUGCAUGUGGCUAUUGGCAGAGCUCUCUAUGACAUCCCUCUGAACAGCUGGGCUCUGCUUUGCUUCAGAGCUGCUUGUCAGAGCAAUUAGCUUGCUGUAGCAGCAGCAAAGAUCGCUAGCAUUUUAUUCAGGGUUGAGAGCUGGCGGGGGCUUCUAAGAAGCAGUAUUAUCUUGGCAAAAUUCCUCUUGAACUGGUUGUGGCAAUGAAGUCUCCAUUGAAAUCAGGAAACAGAUGACCUGCUGAGAGUGCAAAACCACCACGGUGAGUUUAUUUUUAGAAUAAGUCUUCAAUUAUUUUGGGCUUGAGAAAGAUUGACCAGAGACUUUUCUUUUCCUCUCCCCGUACCCCCACCAUGCGAAAUACAGUAUAGGUAUAAGUGCAAGCGAGUGUUUCAGGGAUGGGGACCUGACAUCAUUCAUCUCUGCGUUCUGCCUAGGGACCCUCAGAGGAACUGUCCACAAAAAUUUACAGCAAUAUGUUUGGACCAAACGUAAGCCCUUCCUUCUCAAGAACUGUUUAUAUUGAUGGCUUCUGUGAUUCUUUCACUUUUUAACUAUUGGCUGGUUGUUUGUUUGUUUUUCUCCCCCAGAUUUUGUUAACAAGGGGUGAGAGGGUUCUUGCUUGGCUUCACUGCAGCUCCCAAAAUAAAAAGAGAAGAACAGCAUCACUGUUUUGGUUGGUUUGUUUUUAACAUCAAACAAAUAAUAUCCCCUUAGACUAACAGAAGGAAGAGCAGACGGACUGAAGAUGGCUGCUAUUGC
rnacentral:lncRNA from 1 species